AUUGAACGCUGGCGGCAGGCUUAACACAUGCAAGUCGAGCGGGGGAAGGUAGCUUGCUACUGGACCUAGCGGCGGACGGGUGAGUAAUGCUUAGGAAUCUGCCUAUUAGUGGGGGACAACAUCUCGAAAGGGAUGCUAAUACCGCAUACGUCCUACGGGAGAAAGCAGGGGAUCUUCGGACCUUGCGCUAAUAGAUGAGCCUAAGUCGGAUUAGCUAGUUGGUGGGGUAAAGGCCUACCAAGGCGACGAUCUAUAGCGGGUCUGAGAGGAUGAUCCGACACACUGGGACUGAGACACGGCCCAGACUCCUACGGGAGGCAGCAGUGGGGAAUAGUGGACAAUGGGGGGAACCCUGAUCCAGCCAUGCCGCGUGUGUGAAGAAGGCCUUAUGGUUGUAAAGCACUUUAAGCGAGGAGGAGGCUACUUUAGUUAAUACCUAGAGAUAGUGGACGUUACUCGCAGAAUAAGCACCGGCUAACUCUGUGCCAGCCGCCGCCGUAA
rnacentral:rRNA from 1 species